UACGGAGGGUGCAAGCGUUAUCCGGAUUUACUGGGUUUAAAGGGUGCGCAGGCGGAUAUGUAAGUCAGUGGUGAAAUCUCUGGGCUUAACCCGGAAAUUGCCAUUGAUACUAUAUAUCUUGAAUGCUGUGGAGGUAAGCGGAAUAUGUCAUGUAGCGGUGAAAUGCUUAGAGAUGACAUAGAACACCUAUUGCGAAGGCAGCUUACUACGCAUAUAUUGACGCUGAGGCACGAAAGCGUGGGGAUCAAACAGG
rnacentral:rRNA from 1 species